CAUGUAGGCAGAUUAAUAAGUUUGAAGUGAAAUCCUAUAGCUUAACUAUAGAACUGCUUUGAAAACUGUUAAUCUAGAAUGUGGGAGAGGUAGAUGGAAUUUCUGGUGUAGGGGUAAAAUCCGUAGAGAUCAGAAGGAAUACCGAUUGCGAAGGCGAUCUACUGGAACAUUAUUGACGCUGAGAUGCGAAAGCGUGGGGAGCAAACA
rnacentral:rRNA from 1 species